AAAUAGGUAAGCUAAAGAUUAAGCUAAUGGGUUCAUACCCCAUCUAUAGGAAAUUUCCUCCUCUUUA
rnacentral:tRNA from 1 species